rnacentral:lncRNA from 1 species
GGGUAUGUAAUUUUGCUGAUGUCAUGAAGCUAGACUCAGACCCUCUCUGAAAGUAGAGGCUCCAGGAACAAAAUUUGAUGUCUUCUUUCCAUCCUGGGAAUGGACAUAGUGAUAGUCGGAGGUCUGUGUUUUAUGCCAAUGAAAAGUGGGAAUUUUUAGACCCAACCCCUAAGGACCUAGAGGAGUCCAUAGUACAGGAAGAAAAGAAGGAGCCAACCCCUGAAGGAAACAAAGUUUCACAAAGGCUGAAAAAUUUGCCUCAUACUUCCCUCAAAGCCAAACAGUUGCUUCAAACUUCAUCUACAAAUAGAGGAUUUGUACCUCAAUUGAUGGAAUACUGGUAAUUCUUCUACUCCAUUUGAAGAUGAAAAAUAAAGGCCAAAAUCAUAGGCCUGGCACAGAAGCUGGAUAAUGAAGACAGCUCCGGAGGAACACAUAGAUACACACACAUAUAGACACACACAUAUAUAAAGUACACAGACAUAUUAUUUUUAAAGUUUAUUUUUUAAAGUUUUAAAGUUUCUAAAAUGAAAGCUGGCCCUGCCUCUCUCCCAGAGUGAGCGGAGACAGCGGUUGCAUGAGCAGCUUUCCUUGUGAGGCCACAGGUCCCUCUGGACACGCUGCUGCCUGGCCAUGCCUCCUUUCCCUUUCAUCUUUCUCAUAGACCAAUGGGCUUGGAGCAUUAAGGCCAUACCCCUAUUAUGCAUUCUAGUGCGACCUUGUUUACACCUCCCCUGGCUCAGUCACACAGCUGUGUGGUAGGCUACUAGAAGUGUUUAGUAGUUGUCACUGGGAUCAUGCUGAUGUGGCCCCAUCCCCGCCUCUCCCUGCCCUGUGAUAUCGGAGGAAACCUGACAGAGCAAAUUGGCCAUGGCCAAGAAAAAGAAACAACAGAACCAAGAAAUGGUGGAUCAGUUGGAAGAAGUAACUCUUUGCUUACAACAUGACUGCUGGGUUUGGGAGGCACUCAGAUGUAGAGAUCUCAGUCUUGUCUCACCUAGUCCCAGCCUGGGGAAGAAGGCUCACCCCUCAGAUUCCACCCCAUCCCCAUAAGGUCCCUGAUAACUUGGUCCCAUGGGUGAAACUGUCCUGGGGCAUGUCCCUUGCUGUACCAUCUCUGCCUCCCCCUAGUAAGAGCUCUGUCUUCCUCUUCCUAUAGGAAAAGAAAGAGUGCCACCAAAAGCAGGGAGCCCUAAGGGAGCAGUUACAGGAGUCUGAGGAUCUGGCCAGCCGCCUUUAGUAUUCCAGGCAGUGUGUGGGAGAGUUGGAGCAGGCUCUCUGCUGUCUCCACACAGCAGAAGAAAGCAGACAGGUACAACAAGGAGUUAACCAAAGAGAGAGACGCCCUCAGGCUGGAGUUAUACAAGAACAGUUCAUUCCUUUCUCUACUGCCUCUGGCCAUAACCGAAGCAAUGAGGACCUAAAGCAGGAGAAAUCAGAAUUGGAAGAGAAGCUUCAAGUCCUGGUGACUGAGAAGGCUGGCAUGCAGCUUAUUUUAGAAGAGCCGCAAAAGAAAUUACAAAUG